rnacentral:rRNA from 1 species
UGUCAUGCCAAUGGCCCUGCCCGGUAGCUAAAUGCGGAAGAGAUAAGUGCUGAAAGCAUCUAAGCACGAAACUUGCCCCGAGAUGAGUUCUCCCUGAGACUUUAAGUCUCCUGAAGGAACGUUAAAGACGAUGACGUUGAUAGGCCGGGUGUGUAAGCGCAGCGAUGCGUUGAGCUAACCGGUACUAAUGAACCGUGAGGCUUAACCUUACAACGCCGAAG